UACGUAGGGGGCAAGCGUUGUCCGGAAUCAUUGGGCGUAAAGAGCGUGUAGGCGGCCCGGUAAGUCCGCUGUAAAAGUCAAAGGCUCAACCUUUGAAUGUCAGUGGAUACUGCCGGGCUAGAGUCCGGAAGAGGCGAGUGGAACUCCUGGUGUAGCGGUGGAAUGCGCAGAUAUCAGGAAGAACACCAACGGCGAAGGCAGCUCGCUGGGACGGUACUGACGCUGAGACGCGAAAGCAUGGGGAGCGAACAGG
rnacentral:rRNA from 1 species